rnacentral:lncRNA from 1 species
AAAGAAGACAACAAAGCUGUAAAAGUAGGGAGAGGCUGUUGAGGUCACUUUCCAGACGGAAGCUAGUAGAAAAAGGGGUUGGGUGGGGAGCAAAUGACAAGACCUAGAGUGAGUGAGGCUAGGCGGGCUCGGCUAUAGAAGAGGGGAGAGGAGGGUCAGGGGUGACUCCAGUCCUGGCCCUGGCAACCAAGGGCAGAACUCCUUGCUGAUUGAGGGGCCUGAAGAUACUGAGGCAUGUGGCAGGUUCGAUCCCUGGUAGCGCAAGACGACAGCUUGUACUGGGAGACAUGUAAACAAGAAGGACUAGCAUGGACAAGAGGAUACUGAAGAGGAAAUGUCUGUAUGGAGAUGGGCCUAGGGCUCCCUAAAGUCCAAGAGGCCAGACAGCCUGGGGAGGACAGGAUCAGAGGAAGCUCAGAGUGGGGUCUUCCCUCCUAAGCCCUGUCAUAUAGUUUCUAAGAUUCUCUAAGUCCCUGUGGUCCUUUGAAUGAGAAUGGUCCCCAUACACUCAUAUAUUUGAAUGUUUGGUCCUCAGUUGGUGGAACUGUCUGGGAAGGAUUAAGAGGUGUGACAUUGUUGGAAGAGGGUAGCCCUGAGCCUCCCACGGAGCUCUGAACCCUGAGCCUCUGUCUAUGGCAUAAAAAAAUGAAGGCAGCCAGUUCCAAGUAGUGUGCCCUUUGAUCAGCUCCCAAGGGUGCGACCCGCCUUCAGGGUAAAGGGAAAGCCUGGAGGUCAGGAAGCAGGCUCCUGAGGUCAGGGGUGAUGCGAAAGAAUAGGAGGUUCAGAGAGCCUAACACGGUGCCUGGCAAGUAGUAGAUGCUUAGAAUAAGCUCAUCUCCUCUGAACUCGUUUGGGGUCCUUUGGGGGCUCUGAAAGAAGAUGGGUGCUGCAAGAGGCCAGGAACCCUUGAGGUAAGAAUGCAGGUGUAGUCUGUCUCCCUCCAUGCUUCUGGGGAAGGUACUCAUCUACCACCGUUUUGACAGCUCUCUGGAUGUAACUCUUCAUCAAACAUCCCACAAGCCAUUCCACAUAGUCACCAACAUCCCAGAGACAGACCUGGACCGACUACAGGUUUGAGAGCCAAGUGCUUUACUGACGAGUCACUUCUGCGACCCAACAAUAGGCUUCUGACCACCCUGACUCAGCAUCUUAGUGCUGGAAUUACUGAGAGCACCACCAUACCUGGUUUGUGGUUGUUUGUUUAUUUGUUUAACAGAGUCUUUGUAGCCUUGUCUGGCCUGCAUAUGAGGCUACGCUUGAACUCACACGGAGACGCCGCCUGCUUCUGGCUCCUGUGCUGGGAUCAGAGGCCAACCCCCAAAACUGGAAUUCUUCUCUGCAGGCUUCUGCAAAGAGAGUCCCAGCCUUGCCAGGAGGCGGAAGUGACUGAGCUGCUAGAUCCUUCAAAGUGGAGACAUCCAGAAGACAGACAACUUGGCCAGCGGGAAAUGAAGGUGGAGGACCUCGGAGGAGAGACCUCCGCCUUCUGCUCUGUAGCGCUGCACUUGAGUGCCAUAAGGCGAACCCUACCGUGCAGAUCUGGAAACGGCUGAAACCGCCCGAUGAGCGGGGAUUGCAUCUCCAGCGAGGAUACUUUAUUUUAGCAAGUGGGUGUUAAGCCAGACAUAACCACUAGGGGACAGUAAAAACAACCCUUAAGGUCAGUAUUCCUCCAAGACCCCACCUACUCUCACCUGAGGCCAAGAUGGGCAGUGCCUCACCUGGCUUUCACCUAGCGCUCUGUUAACCACUUCCUGCCUAAUCUGAAGUACCUCCCCGAGAUGGAGUCGUUCUUAGUAGAACUGGGGGCCAAUUUUGAUCGGAGGGAGGGUGUCCAGUCCGGGGGUGGGAGUGAAGUCAUGGUUUCCAGAAACUCAGACCCUUGUCCUUGUCCUAGCUGGAGAGGCUAUAGAGUUCUCUGGUUCAGAUGAGUAGGUCUCUUUUCUAAGCAGUGAAAGCCAAGUGGGGUGGUCACUGCGCUGGAACCCCUGGGACAAGCUUUAGUGGAGACUGUUCACGUAGCUUCAAAAUCCAGACUUCCGCCUCCCUGCAGCCAUUUAUCUGUCAAGGGCUUCAGCCAGAGGGAGGGAGGAAGGUAGCCCACCAGUGAAGGGAAGACGACAGGAUGGGAGCAGGAGGUAGGCAGUUAAGACAGGGUUCGAAAGCGGAUGGCUUUCGGCAGCUUUCAGGUACCCGCUUUGCGUGUCGUUUCUCCUGUUACUGGCAGCCUUUCAGGGAUCAGAUCAGCCGAAGUUCCGGGAUUGCGUUCCGGGCCUUAACGAGUUAAACUGUGGGAGUGGGGUCCGGAGUCCCUCCCUCCCUCCUUCGCGAAUCAAGUGUCACCACUUCCAAGUCCAUCAGACUGGCACGCUAGGAGUUAAGUCUGCCCGCAAUCCGCAAGACUGGAGCCGUAGAGGGGGGAGGAGGGGGGAGGGGGAAAGCAAGGAGCUGGGGGAAGCAGACUGCAGGGAGACAGCGCCUGGAACCCCCUCCCCAGGGACCUGGCCCUGGGCCCCCAGCCCCAAAAGGGGCCCUGCCCUCCCCGGGGUCGCGCUCUCUUCCCCCCCCCCGCCCUGCCCCCGCCCUUCAGCUUUGUGUCCCCAGGAGGGUGGGCUGCAAGAUUUCCAGCCAAGCCUUGGCUGCCUGCUCAGUUUUUCCAAACCCUCCAGUCGGAGAAGGCGGGAGCCUUGUCAGGAUAAGAGUCCCUCCCCCCUCUGCCCCUGCCGGCCCCCUGGUCCAGCUUGGAGUUUCCUGUCCUCGCAGCUUUCCAAACUCCUUUCCCUUUCCGACCCUGGCCCCAGCGCCCCCUAGCCCCACCUCUGUUGGUUCCCAAAUUCCAAGUUCAGGUUGGAGGGGCCAGGUGGACUCCACAAUCCUAGCGAGGCGCUGGUAAAGCCUCACUCUGCCGGCCGACCCAGAGACCUGCGGGGCGCCGGCCUGACUCCCGGCCUGGGCCCGCCCUGUCCCAGGACUCGGCUUCUGGCCACCAGGGAAGGUGGCUCUUGGGGUCUCCCGCUCCCGGAAGGAGGCGGUGCCGGGGACGUCGGCACAGCUGGGCGGUAAGGUGGGUUCGGCAGAUGCCAGGCCCUAAGGCAUACUUCAAGGAGGGGCAAUGUUCCCAGCGCUGGCACGCCUCUGUCCAGAGAGUCUAUUAUAUAAUAAUCACCAUCUAUCAGGAAGCCAGGCUGCUGGAGAGAGUGGGUAAGCCAGGAUGCCCGGAUCCGCGCCUCAUCCAGGGCCCAGAAAGGUGUCUCCAUCAAGCCCGGAUCCGCGCCUCAUCCAGGGCCCAGAAAGGUGUCUCCAUCAAGCUACGCACAGUGUGGGGCAAAGCCCAGUGGUCGGAUGAAGAUGAUGAUGGUGACAGGAGGGGGAUUCCAGGGACUAGUGUAGAAACUCAUAUUUGCCCAGUUGGAGCUCGGGUUCCAUAUGAAGCUGAAGCUGCUCUUGAACUGAUCCUCCGGCCUUCCCUUCCUGUCAUGAUGAGCCCUUCAUUCAGGGCUUAUACCCCUGCCCCUCAUCUGGACCUCCCCGAUCUUGCCCAGUGCCCAGCUCCUGGGCCAUCCACCCAGAAACAUUCACUGAAGCCCUCCUGUGAACCUGGCCAGCACCUGAGACAGUCAUGCAAGGAACACAGAGACUGGAAGUUAUGAUCUGAGUCCUCAGGAAUCUCAUGCCAGCCAGAUGUACAGACAGGAGGAACGACACAUAUGGGAGUCAGUACUCUGGUGGGUGGCACUGAUGUGACAGGUGAUGGGGAACAGAAGACACAGGUUGCUACUGUUCUUUGUGAAGCAGUCAGCGCUCGCUCGGCACUGGUUGAUUUCAUUGGAGGUGAGGGGGCAGUGAGAUAGAAGGAAAAUGGCCUGGGAGAAGAAGCCUUGAGUUCUAGUCCCAGGUUCACAAUUCUAGUUGUGUAACUUGGUAAUUCCUUAAGUCACACAAGCUUCACUUUUCUCAUUUACCCCUUCCUUGUAAAUUCGUGGUGGUAACCAUUGAGAUAAUAUAGGCAAUGCUUUAAAGAAC